rnacentral:lncRNA from 1 species
UUUCUCUAUGAGAAUGUUUUUUGAUUAAUUCCUUUUCAUGAGAGAGUGAGAGAUGUGGAGAUCAAAGAUCUGCAGUCAGAGUAUCAGCUAGAGAAGAUCGAUUACUUGGCCACCAUUUGUUGGCAAAAAUGUAACUUCAUGCUCUUCCAGCAGCUCCUGGAGCAGGUGCAGCCACUGAUUCACCGGGACUGUUAAUUUCUGCAACCUGGAGAAGAUUAGGCGCAAAUCCUGCUGGGAUGAGGAUAAUGGCUUCUGGAAGAUUCUAGAGCCCAUCAUCUUAAAAACCAGUCUCCCAGUAGUUUCAACAGGGCCACAGAACAAACCAGGCUACAAAACCUCUGCAGGAGACAACGGCGAACCAUGCAUGCGGGAGCAAGACCCCUAGAAGCUGAUGCUCAGUUGGUCGGACUGUGAAAAUACUGCCAGUAGCUACUUCGGUUCAAGCUGGCCACCCAGACCCUCUGCACAGAGACCCCCGAGGAGCCUCAUGCAUCCAGAGUCGCUGCCAGGCCUGCACAGCUUCUCUGCCCUCCCGCCCCGCUGCAGCUCCGGCCUUUCCACCUCGAAUCCCCCCACAUCCCCUUCUUGGAGGUCACGCAGCAGGAAAAGCAGAAGCGCCUUUGGCGGUGGGCCCCGCAGCUGCCUGCCGCUGCCCUGCCUUUGAGCUUCCCAGACAGCCCGGCCAGGCCUCCCCGCACCCGUGACCAGAGGCUCAAGGAGGUCCAGGCCGGGGCCGCCCUCCAGGCCUCGGUAGUGUUGCCCCUGCUCGCUGCCGCUGCGCCCCGGCGGCGGCUUGUGCGCAGAAACCUCCGCGCUGCCUCGGGGCCUUUGCAGCAUCCGCACAGAGCCAAGCAGCUUCCACGUGGAUCGAACUCGAACUCGGCAUCUUGACUGAACAUUGUGUCCCCGGCAUCCCUGCGCGGGAAGUCUUGGGGCUGGGUCAUGUUUAUUCGUGGGACGCAUGCCACAGCAUGGCUUGAUAAAUGCUGUGUAGGUCUGUGGCUGGGAUCUGAACUGGCGAGGCCUGGGCCACUGAAGCGGAGUGCAUGAACUUAACUGCUACGCCGCCACCAGACCUGCAGGAUGACCACUGAUAAGACAGUAGCUUCCUGACAGCCUCCCACCUCACUAAGCAUCAUGCAGGAGCAAUGAGAAGCUAAAAUGACCAAUUGACUUUGACUGGAUAUUUCUUUACACACUGAAAAUUCAUUCACCCUACUGCCACUUCUCAGGACCUGUGACGGGGAAUGAAAAUCCAAGCUGCCUUUGAGAUAUCACCCUGAAGCUUGGGCUCUAGACCUCCUGCAGCAUCGCCUCUGCUGUAUUCUAUUAGUCAGAGCAAUUUUCGGGGCCACUCCAAAUUUAAGAGGUCAGGAAAUAGACUCCAACUGUUGAUGAGAGGAACUAAAAAUGAUUUGUGGCCGUAUUUAAUCUACCACACUAUCCUAUUCCUGCUAUUAAAAUUCCUUUGGGAUGAUCUUUGAAAAUAAUUUUGUGAAUAAAACAGGGCAAAAUUUUCAAUGAAUUUGUCUAGAAUAAACCAUACAUUGUCAAGUCUGUAGCUCUUGCUGGUUGUAAGCUCUUUAUCCAUGACUCUCACCUUAUUCACAUUUCUAUCCCUUCUAUUUAGUGUAGUUCCUGAGAGAGAGUAUGCAGAAAAGUACUUGUUUUAUGAAUGAUUGAUUAAACCAUAACAUUCUUUCUACAAAAGUCAUAAAAUGUCUAAAACGUAAAUGUUGAAAUCUUAUCUCUACUUCUCGGGCCAAAGGGCCUCCAACAGGCUUACUGUUCUAAAUAAUCCCCAAACAUUAAUAAGUAAGAGCAACUAUAUUCAAAGAGUUUUAUACAUUCAAUUAAGUAUGUUUUAGAUGUUUAAUGUGAUACCACAAAUAAGACGCCCUCAAUUUAGUUGUCUUUCUCAAGGUGGACAAAAUGAUUGUGCACAUUGGGGCACACCACAGAAGAUACUUUUCAAAAGAAAAC